rnacentral:rRNA from 1 species
UACAGAGGGUGCGAGCGUUAAUCGGAAUUACUGGGCGUAAAGGGCUCGUAGGCGGCCAACUAAGUCGGAUGUGAAAUCCCCAGGCUUAACCUGGGAACUGCAUCCGAUACUGGAUGGCUUGAAUUCGGGAGAGGGAUGCAGAAUUCCAGGUGUAGCGGUGAAAUGCGUAGAUAUCUGGAGGAAUACCGGUGGCGAAGGCGGCAUCCUGGACCGACAUUGACGCUGAUGAGCGAAAGCUAGGGGAGCAAACGGG